rnacentral:lncRNA from 1 species
UCUGAUUACCUCUACUUUGAGCUAAAAAUUGGUGAAGAGCUGCAUCAGAAAAAUAGGUUAUUCUACAAAACUAAAUAACCCAAUUGGGUGUUAUAGUAAAAAUUUUAGCGCUCAGAUUUUACUGUUCUACAAACAAGUAAAAAGAGGAUCAACACACGCCAUAGCUGCAGAUACACCGGUUUGCGAAUGCGCCAUAUGGAUUUCCCCGCCAAGAUAUGGGUCAGAUCUUAUCAACAUAGCGAAGUAGAUUAUAGACCCGAAAGAGCAAAUCAUCAUCACAACCCAUAUUUUCACAUCAAUCAACAUCAGUUAGGUUCCAAUCUCCUGAAAAAGCAUCUAUCUACUUUAAAGAAGCACAAGCAGUAAAAGGAAGAGGCAUAUAAAAAUAUCUGAAAUUUUAUGGCCAAACGUUAAAAUAAUUCUUGAUCUUUUCUUUUACUCAUGGAGAUGAAAUCAUAGACAUGGCAGAGUGGGGGAAACCACCCUUUACAGAAAAUCCAUCUCUCUGAUGUCUCAUUCUUCCUUUCAGAGCCAAACUAUGGUGAGGAUUCUGCCGUAAGAAUCAUCAUCACAGCCUUAUUUGACAGAUGGAAACUUCUCCACAGGUACGCAUUUGGACAAUUUCAAACCAACUUUCAACAAACAAAUAACAAUAACCACAACAACCACCAAGCCAGUGAAAUCCCACAAACAUAAGCAAAGAGGGAUGUUUGGUCUAACAAGAAACAAUAGUAGUACUUCUGAAGAGAGUUGUUGAUUUUGUUUAUCAGGAAAUCAUAGGCCAAACAGAGGGGUCAACCACCCUCCAAGAAUUCCUUUUUUCUCUCAGUUGGCCUCAUUCUCAAUACUGGCCUGAACUUUCAUUUUUCUGUAGAACACUCUGAUUUAUAGAACACAAUUUAACCAGAGAUCCUGUAUGUCCGCUUUAACUGUCCCUUUUCCAUGCUUUUGCUGUUUGUUUAUCCAAAAAUGCAGCCACAAAGAAGCAAUGUAGUCACAGAUAGAGAGACAGAAACAAACAAA